GUCCACGCCGUAAACGAUGGGUGCUAGGUGUCGCGGGCAUUGACCCCUGCGGUGCCGAAGCCAACGCAUUAAGCACCCCGCCUGGGGAGUACGGCCGCAAGGCUAAAACUCAAAGGAAUUGACGGGGGCCCCGCACAAGCGGUGGAGCAUGUGGUUUAAUUCGACGCAACGCGCAGAACCUUACCCGGGCUAGAAAAUGCAGGAACCUGGUCGAAAGGUCGGGGUGCUCUUCGGAGAACCUGUAGUUAGGUGCUGCAUGGCUGUCGU
rnacentral:rRNA from 1 species